ACUAAGAUAAGCUAAAUUUAAGCUUUUUGACUCAUAAUCAAAAUAUAGAGGUAUCUUCUUUGUA
rnacentral:tRNA from 1 species